ACUUGCGCGUGCGUACGCGCAAGCGCAACUCUUUGAAGUAUCCCUGGGCGGGCCGGUUGGUAUCCUUGGCGGCCAUGGCUCUAGCUGGAAGUUCGGCGUCGGUGGGGGCCCGCGGGCUUAGGCUGAGGCUGACGCGGAAAAAACCGCUGGCUCCCCCCUCCUCCUCCUGCUCCGGACCUGGUGGAGAGGGGCAGGAGGGCAGAACGUUAAACCAUUGCUCUUGGUUGGACCAAGAAGGGUUAAAUGAAUCUGAAGAAUUGUGGCGAAUGCUGGUGUUGAGAAGUGUGAACUCCAAUCUGAAUGCGGCCAACCAGGAAAUGCCAGCUUUACCAGCAUUCUUUGACAAGAAUACCAGAAAUGAGAACUCCCAGGAACCAGCCAUCUUUACAGUUGGAACAGAAGAGUUUCAGUGGAUACCUUUCCCCUCUGCUUUUCAGUUCAUUGGGGAUCAGUUUAAAAAUCCAGAUUCUUAUUUCACAAAGGAGAAGCCUCAUCAGAUUCCCUGUGAACAUGAGCAGGGAGAAGGCCAACAGAGCAGUGGGCCUUCCCCCCAGGAAACAUCUACUAUGGGUCCUGAGAAAUGGGAACCAAAGCCCAGCAGUGGAGUUGGGGUGAAAAGGCCCUUGGAGCUGAGAGACAACGGCGUAAAGGCUUCGAAGAGCAGAUUUACACAGCUUUCCCAGCUUAGGAAAAAACAGAGACUUCGGGCUGAGGGGGGUGCCUUCUCCCCAGCAUCUCCCCAGAACUUUGUUGUGGGCUCAAGCUCUCCAGGACCUCCCCCUUGGAAAAAGCCUGGAAACAGCCUUUGCCUGGAAGGUGUGGGAGUGGAAAAAGAGGCCACCGCCACUGCUGCCACAAGCCAGGGGAUGGUGGAACUUGAUUGCUGUCCAAUAUGCCAGAUCCCAUUUACUGGAAAGCUGUCGCAGCUGGAUAUCGAUAGUCAUCUGGCUAAAUGCUUGUCAGAGAGUAUUGAAGAUGUCAUAUGUGUGCCAAGUCCUAAUCCCAAGGAAAGUUAGCUGUGAAUCAGGAACAGGGAAACAAAAAAGUCUCAUCCUAGCACCUCAUGACUUGGAUGUGAGUCCGAGAGAUGUCAUGUUCAGCAUCGAGUGUGAUGCUGUACCCUGAGAAACCUACAUGUUAAUGCAGAGAGAGUGGAAGAGAAUUCAAGUGGAGCCUGCAUCUUUGCCUGCAUAGAGGAAGGAAGAAUGAAAGAUGGAAAAAGAGAAGUGAUUUGCCAAGGGCCACAAAAUAAUCGAGAGGCAGGAAAAGAUCUAUAACCCAGGCCCCUUCUCCUUCCUCCCCUCUAGUUUCAUUCCUGGUCAGCCAAGACACAUGAGAAGCAAUUGGUCAAAAAGUCAGAGGAUGCCCAAGGAAGCUCUUAAUAGCCUGGACCACAUCUAGGAGGUAAAAGUAAUCACUCCUCUGAGGAAUCUAAGAAAACACAAGCCUUUAUCACCUUGCAAGCAGGGCUUUCCCAGGCCUGCUUUGAAUGAUGAUGAAGAGGCCAGUCAAGUACAGAACCUCUGGCUCAUUAGAACUAGAGGCCACCUUCUUAGAAAUCAAGUAGCCCAUCCUCUCUAGUGGCCAUGGCAGACCACUACGAUGGCAUUUGGCAGCAGAGAGGGGGUGCUGGCUGGUCUGGUCUGGGGAACCAGGGGUUCAAGGCCUACUCAGGUGAUAAACUUUGAAUGUGGCACCCAGGAAGGAAACAUGCAAUAAAUUCUCUGUGGCCAGUA